UAUGCCUUCUUUUGAUAAUGUUUCAGUAUAAAUUGUGCACAAAUAAACCUCUUGAACUUUUAAUAAGACUCUGUUAAAUGUUAAAAAGACAAGCAGUACAAAAACAUUGUAAACAGCAGCACUUGUAGUUGCAAUGUCAGGUCCGACGGUGCCCCGACCGGCGACCUGUGUGUAUGUGUGUUUGUUCUCUCUCUCUCUCUCGCUCUGUUUCUCUCUCCGGCUCCGCUGCGAUUGUUACGCGGUUGCGUAGCAACGGGAGAUCUCCGACCCGGAAGUGCUGCCACUCUGAGCUGUCCCACCUGCGACUGAUUCCUCGCCAGCUGCUGCCAAUCAUCCACCAUCGUUGGCAGAGCUAUUUAAUGGUGUGGCUGAGUGACAGACAGCGCUGGAGUAUUCCACCAAACCUGGAAACGAACGAGACGGAGAGACGGGAGGUGAGACGUCACUAAUUCACGAGAGUUGUGUGGACACACGAGGGGAGCACUGAAGGGACUUUGCAAUGUGGAUAACUGUGGAUUGGCUUCACUGUAAAUAAAGACACUGUUCAACUUUAA